rnacentral:lncRNA from 1 species
AGAUGUCUUGAGGCCUUCCAGACCUUGCUCCACCUCCACCACCAGGUCUCCAGUCCUGAGCCACAUGCUGCCAUUUUUGUCUCAGAAGCACCCCUCUUCCAGGUGGAAGAUUGAAGGUCUGAAGAGUGGGAAGUCCCAGGAACAGGCAAUUCCAGGAAGAUAUGAGGAAAAUCAAGAAAGAGAAGGAAACUGAAGCUAGUGGGAAGUGCUUCAAGUUGGAGAUGAUGCUGAGAUGGCCAAAAAGUGAGAGGUGGAAAACAUUUGGAGUGAGUUAAGGAGAGAACGCGAGGCAAGGAAGUGAAGCUGAGUGAGUUGGGGAGUGGGGUGCAGGGGCCUUUGGCCACCCCAGGCUCUUUCUAUGUGAACAUUCUGAGACUGAUUCUGAUUUUUUUCCCCUCCCAAAUUGCUCUCUUUUCCUUUCUUCACCUACUUACUCCCUGGUCAUCCUUCCUUUGGGUCAGUGAAGUUGCUGAUUCUUUAGGGAACACUUCUCUGAUUGCUGAAGCUAAUAGUCUCUCCCUGCGGUUGCCGGUUGUUUCCAAUAGUUGACUAGUUUUCUUCCCCAGCACUUACGAGUACACAGCCAGUCACUCUGGUUGCUCACUGUCUUCCUUCUUCCUUGACUGUCAGCUCACAGGAAUGCAGGGCCCUUACUUGUUUUACUCACCACUGCAUCCCAAGGAUAUAGCAGAGUGCCUGGCACACGGUAGGUGCUGAAU